ensembl:misc_RNA Y_RNA Y RNA
GGCCGGUCCAAAAGUAGUGAAUUAUUUCAAUCAAUUGUUCACAGUUACAGAUCCAACUCUUUGUUCUUCUCUUUUCCCCCUUCUCACUACUGCACUUCACUAGUCAAAA